GUUCUAUGAUGCUUUGCUGAGAAUU
rnacentral:miRNA from 1 species